UUCCCUGGUAAUGGGCAAAAGGACACCAUAGUGGUGGUGGUACUCUUACAUCAGUCAGGGCAGAGCAGAAGGCAGUCCUUUGUUCAUCCUAGCUUGAUGCCUACGUUGGUGGCCAAAGCUGUUUUAUGCCUAGGACUCAUCC